rnacentral:rRNA from 1 species
UACGGGGGGGGCAAGCGUUGUUCGGAAUUACUGGGCGUAAAGGGCUCGUAGGUGGCCAACUAAGUCAGACGUGAAAUCCCUCGGCUUAACCGGGGAACUGCGUCUGAUACUGGAUGGCUUGAGUUUGGGAGAGGGAUGGCGGAAUUCCGGUGUAGCGGUGAAAUGCGUAGAUAUCUGGAGGAACACCGGUGGCGAAGGCGGCAUCCUGGACCAACACUGACACUGAGGAGCGAAAGCGUGGGGA